AUUGAACGCUGGCGGCAGGCUUAACACAUGCAAGUCGAACGAGUGGCGGAAGGGAGAGUAAUACUUGGGAAUCUAGCUUAAGGAGGGGGAUAACUAAGGGAAACUGUAGCUAAUACCGCGAAGCAUAGGAUUAGCCCAAGUGGGACUAGGGAGUUGGUGAGGUAAAGGCUCACCAAGCAGACGAUCUCUAGCUGGUCUGAGAGGAUGACCAGCCACAGUGGAACUGAGCAACGGCCCAGACUCCUACGGGAGGCGGCAGUUGGGAAUAUUGCGCAAUGGGGGCAACCUGACGCAGCCAUGCCGCGUGAAUGAUGAAGGCCUUCGGGUUGUAAAGUUCUUUCGUUAGCGAGGCGUUAACUACAGAAGAAGCACCGGCUAACUCCGUGCCAGCAGCCGCGGUAAUUC
rnacentral:rRNA from 1 species